rnacentral:misc_RNA from 1 species
AAUAAAGGAGAUUCGGUACUCCUACUCCUAUUGUAUAAAUAUAUAUAAUAUAAGUUACCUUUAUCUAAGAAUUGGAACAGUAAUUUGCCCCUUCUUUUGUGAACCCCAAAGUUACUGAUCUAGGGUUUCUCAGUGUGUACAAUAAUGGCGAGCUCAUACUCUACUCCAAUCGGUGCCACUCAGGUUGGUUCCUACUUUGUUCAACAGUACUAUCAGGUUCUUCAGCAGCAACCGGACUAUGUUCAUCAGUUUUAUACUGAUGCCAGCUCUAUUGUUCGAGUUGAUGGUGAUUCCAACGAAUCGGCUUCUGCCCUUGUGCAAAUCCAUACUCUAAUCAUGUCAAUGAGUUUCUCUGGAAUUAAGAUCAAGACGAUAAAUUCUCUUGAAUCUUGGAAUGGUGGUGUUCUUGUUGUGGCCUCUGGUUCUGUCAAGUUGAGGGAUAUCAAUGGGUGGAGGGACUUUGUGCAAACAUUUUUACUUGCACCUCAGGAGAAGGGUUACUUUGUUCUGAAUGAUGUCUUUCAUUUUGUUAAUGAGGAGCAGAGUGAAGUAAUUCAAGCACCAGUAGGUUCACAGAACAAUCUUGAUGCUCAACCAACUUCUUCCAAUCCUCUUGCAGAGCCACCAGCCCAUGACUAUGCCUUAGAAGUGGAGGCGACUGAAUAUGUAAAUUCAGUUAAUAUACAAGGAAGUGAUGCUGUUGAAGAGUACAGUUAUCCAGAACAUGAUCAGGAAAACCUAUAUGAGGCUGAGGCUGAGUAUGAGUCUGAUGAGUAUGAGCAUGACGAGGCAGAGCUUGAGGCUGAUGUACCAGAGGAGACUCAUUUGGGGGAAGAAACUACUCAAGUAAGGUCAUUCGAAGAAGAG